GGACAGUGAGAGUGCAGACUGAGAGCACGGACAGUUAGAGUGCAGUGCAGACUGAGUGCAGAGACAGUGAGAGUGCAGACUGAGAGCAGGGACAGUGAGAGUGCAGACUGAGAGCAGGGACAGUGAGAGUGCAGUGCAGACUGAGUGCAGAGACAGUGAGAGUGCAGACUGAGAGCAGGGACAGUUAGAGUGCAGUGCAGACUGAGUGCAGAGACAGUGAGAGUGCAGACUGAGAGCAGGGACAGUGAGAGUGCAGACUGAGUGCAGGGACAGUGAGAGUGCAG